ensembl:lncRNA
CUGGGAUUUAGAGUUAGCUGGAGAAAUACUGUAAACAAUAAUUCUGGUUAAACAGCAUUUAGUUCUUCGAAUGGGAGAUGGGACAUUGGAGAAAUGAGGAGAGAAAUUUUUAGGUCUCUCGGAGAAAAAAAAAAAAAUGAACAACUUGGAAGGAUACUGACAUUGUCCUUCCAUUUCCUAAAAGAUCUUUAAAAAGAAAAUCUUUGCUGAUUAACUCCUAGGAAUUCAUAAGGUUGGCCUAAGAUGCAUCCAUAUCUACUGUUUUAGGUGAAUUAUACCAUUAGCAGAGAAACUAGAGUGAAGCCCACAGAUAUGCCUGAUGGAACCAAGAUCAUGAAGAGUAGUCAAGAGCUCAAGUAUUACUUGUAUGCUAAAAGUAAAAAUCGAAAGCAAAUAGGUAAUCUGGUGAGCAGCUGAGACAGAAUGUCUGGGUUCCCACUGAGUGGCUGAUGGAGGAUUGAAGAAGCAGAUGCUCUGGUCUCAAACCUAGAGGAGUUUCUAAGAUGAUUCGCUUGGGUUUUUCAAGACUGUAAUCUUUAUAAUCUGCAAAUAAAGAUACUUCUGCCUCUUCCUACCCAAUAUUUGUGCUUAUCUCAUUCUCUCAUCUAAUUAUAUUGGUGAGCACUUCAAGAACAAUCAUUAAAUAAUUGUGGUGAUAACAAGUACCCUUGUCUUGUGCC